rnacentral:rRNA from 1 species
UAUGAUUUGCUUAUUGCACCACAUGUGUUUUUCUUUGAAACAAACUUGCUUUGGCGGUGGGCCCAGCCUGCCGCCAGAGGUCUAAACUUACAACCAAUUUUUUAUCAACUUGUCACACCAGAUUAUUACUAAUAGUCAAAACUUUCAACAACGGAUCUCUUGGUUCUCGCAUCGAUGAAGAACGCAGCGAAAUGCGAUACGUAAUAUGAAUUGCAGAUAUUCGUGAAUCAUCGAAUCUUUGAACGCACAUUGCGCCCUCUGGUAUUCCGGAGGGCAUGCCUGUUUGAGCGUCGUUUCUCCCUCAAACCGCUGGGUUUGGUGUUGAGCAAUACGACUUGGGUUUGCUUGAAAGACGGUAGUGGUAAGGCGGGAUCGCUUUGACAAUGGCUUAGGUCUAACCAAAAACAUUGUUUGCGGCGGUAACGUCCACCACGUAUAUCUUCAAACUUUGACCUCAAAUCAGGUAGGACUACCCGCUGAACUUAAGCAUAUCAAUAAGCGGGAGGAA